rnacentral:lncRNA from 1 species
CUUCUCAUCCUUUAUAUUUUCUUUCUUGCUCUUUUUAUCUUCUUCUUUUCCACUUUCAGCUUUUCCUUUAUCUUUUUCUUUCUUUAUGUCUUUAUCAUAUUUCAUUUUCAUUACUUUUAGGGCUCGGUGAAAAAACUGCUUCUUUAAAAGCCUUUGGGAAAAACAGGUAUGGCAUUACACUCCCCAUAUAGAUAGAGACUGAAAAGCAAAAAUAUCAAGACCUGAAUAAAAUAAGCAAAGGAAGGCAUAAAUUAGCAACACAAGAGAAAUUACAACUAGUAUGCCCGUGAAAAAGUAGUCAACUCUACCACUAAAUCAAAACACUUUACAGUCAAUUAUAUAAAAGUUGUCAAAACUCAGUGAUAUUCAAUAUAAUUUUCACUUUUAAUGAUGUACCUUAAGUAUAAAAGAGAUUAUAGGUUUGAGAUUAUCCAUAUAAAGACUCUUUCUGGGUUCAUAUAAUCAAGACUCAGCUUCACUUUAUGUUAAGUCUCAAAUGCAAGAGCUGACGUAAUAAAGAAAGGAGAAAAUAAACAGUUUAAGAAAUGUUAACAGAUUAAAAGUGAUGAUUUGAUGGGUCCAAAUAAUGUCUUUUCAGCUUUCUUGGUGUUAUUUUUUCUCCAAGUACUUCGCAAUUCAGUGUGCCACUGUAAUGAUUAUCUUCAAUUAAGCAAUGAUUAAAUAUACUAAGGUGAGAUUUUUGGACUCUGAAAAGGACGUGCACAACAUCAAAUUGAAAAAUGUGCAAUAUAUUUGGCAAAACAUGAUGUAUUCCUGGUUUCACUAAUUUCUCUCUAAAUAGAUUGUUUUCUCUCUUUUUAUCAGUUAUUACUAUAUUUUAUAUUCUCACCUUAGGGCCUUCACACUGGCUGUUCCCUUUACUUAGAAUGCUCUUCCCCCAAAUAAGCAGGUCCUUUUGUUUCACUCCCUUCCUUCAAGUUUUCCCUCAACCACAACCUACUCUGUUUAAAACAUAAGCCCACCUUCCCAUUCUCUCGUUUCCUGUUACCCUAUCCAUAGCACUUAUCUUCUAACUCACUAUAUAAUUUGUAGUAGUUGUUUGCUCCUUCACUAGACGGUAAACUUCUUAAGAGAGAGAGAGAUCCUUGCUUUAUUCAUUUUUUAUCUGACCCCAGAUUAAGUCAACGUUGCUUGGUAGUUUCUCUUUAACCUUACAAUCCUACUCAAGAAAUUGGGUUGCCCUUAUUUUUGUCAUCUAAAAGUCACUUUUUCAAAUCUCAUGUUCUAGUUUCAGAAUUUCUGAUUGGUUUCUCCAUUCCUGCUUUGAUAAUGUCUAAUUGCCACAAUACAAUCUAGAAGCUACGUCUCACUACCACCACUGGUGCCUGCUAAUGGUGACUAUCUAGCUACCUUUCUACUUACACCUCACUGGUGCCUGCUCCAGCACAUCACAGCACUUGUUAACUAGAUGCUUUCUUCCUGCCCAGAUAACCACUUCUUUUUGUCACUGUGUUCAGUCCCCUGAAGCACCUAUGUUUCUAUGUUUUACCUGCCUGGCUGGGCUUCCAUCUGCUCCCCAAUUAGGUCCAGCCUAUGAGCACUUCCACAAAGCUAAUUUCUAGGUUUCCUCAUUUGGCCCAUACUACUUAUUUGGAAGAGCUAUUUUUAAAUUAUGUAAAUAUGAUUGUGCAUAUAAUUGUGCAAAUGUUCAAACUGCCCCUCAAAAUGCUACCAUCAUAUCUGCUAUGAAUACAUAUACAUAUAUAAACAAACAAGAAUCUGAAAUGAGACCUUAAUGAUUAACUACUUAUGAGUACAAAGUGGGAUUUAAGAAUAGUAGUGGCAUAUUUGAAUAUGAAGUGUAGUCUUACAUUUUUUACUCCAGAAUGUCUUACAAAAAAAAUCUAUAAUGAAAAUAUAUUCUAAUUUUCUUUGUGCACUUAUAUGAUUUCCAGAUUUUCUUUCAGGAACAUUUAUUUCCACUCCAAAUGAAAAUAAAAAUACAUCCUGUUCCUCAUAUGUUAAUUGAAAAAGCAGCAUUUUAUAAUGCAGUUAAUAUACAUGUCCAUAUAUUAAGAGUACAUGUGUACACAUACAGAUACUUGAAGUAUAUAUUCUCAAAUGGUAAUGUGGCUGGCUAUCUACGAAGCAACAUUAUUAGUAAUUUGGAUUUUCUUCUAAAUCAUUUGCAACAGUUCCCAUUUUCUUAAAUUUACUUUAGUGGAAAAAAUGAUUCUUAAUAAAGAAUUUUAAAAACAAACAAUGCAACUUUAGUAGAAAAAAGCCUUUUCCCUGAUGAGUAGAUACUGAAGGCAAUAGAACCAGCAGGAUCAUCUGCUUCUGUCAAUUUUCCUGCACAGCUGCCCACCCCCACGAAAGAAAAGUAGAUUAUUAACUUUCAAUCAAAUUGUGUUGAAAAUAAUUUCACAAUUAGGUUGAAAGAUGAGACUGACAUUAUUUAACAUUUGUAUAGUAUCAGAGCCUCCGUUUGUUUGGCUUUAAACCCAUGACAUAGAACACAUUACUAACAUAAAACUCUCUGACAUUUUUACACAACUACUCAUACUUUCCUAUCUCGGUGUGUUCUAUGCCCUUUGCUUGGAAUGAAUUUCCUUUCUUCUCUUGUUUGUUGGGUAAUCACCUAUUUAUGUUUCAAAAUUUACUUAAAACAUUUUCUGUGUGAUGUCAUUCUUCAUAGUUUCACCAUCUCUCUCUUCCUUAUUCAACACACUGCAUUGUGAUUAGUUAUAAAUCUUCCCUAACAGAUCAGAAUAUGUUUUGAUGUAGGGACCAAGUCAUAGUUAUUAUUGUAUUCCUGGAGCCUAGACUAUUUGUUGAGUAAGUGGUUUUAAAACAGCUUCUAAAACAUUUAAAAAAUUACUUCUGUAUUUUUUUCCUUCACUUCCAUUUUUUUUUCAGAUUUAACAAACAUUUAUUAAAUGCCAGACAUGUUGGGGACUUCCACCAAUGUGGCAAAGGUGAGUUUUUAUGAAGUGCUCACACUGUGGUAAUUGCUAUGGAGUUACAAUAAAGUAUAAAACAGUCUUACAAUUGUUUUCAGAUUUAGCUGGCAGGAGAUUUUAAAAAAACUCACACAUAUGUAGCAAUUCUAAAAUAGUUAAGGGCCAAACUGGGAGGUACUAACUUGAUAAACUCAGUAGAACUUUAGAUACAAAGGCUGAUGAAGGCUGGAGGGCCUGGGGAAGAGUACAUUCGGUAGAGGAAGGACUUGAGGGAUUUGUUUGUGAUUUUGAGAGGCAGGUGGGACAGAGGAAACAGAACCGUUUAGGGAAAGUGGCAAGUUAUGAUAGGAAAAAGACUAGAAGAAAAAAUGAGUGUGGCAUGUGCACAAGACUGAGGACGACAUAACUGGAUUGGGGGUCAGUGAUACAAAGUCUUGUGGAGACUUAACCUAGUAUGUAUGAGUUCAUUCAUGAUAUAGGCCAUAAAAAGGUAUAGAUCACAUUAGAAAAGAUUGUUUUAUCAUCCUACAUUUUCCUAUUUUGUUUUUCCUCAGACUCCCUCAUGCCACUUAGCUGCCUCAGAAAAACUGACAGUAUUGGAGGAUGCCAAAAAAAGAAAAAAAGAAACUGGUCAAGAGACCCUUUGUGAUUUUGUCUGCUAUUGGGCAGCAACUCAUGAGAACUGGCCAAUAAGACUCUACGGUUAUAUUAGAAGUGGCUCUGGAGACCUUAAAGUUAUGCUAUUCUCAUUUAUUUUAGUGCAGAAAGGACUCAAACAAUCUGACAUCAGUGGGAAGAGCGUAUACAAUGAAAAUCGAGUGUCUUUGGACACUCUCUGUACUCAGGUCUUUUGAGCUUUUCAAAUAACAAGGUACCAAGGCUCCUAAAAAGCCAAAAAAUGUGGAUUCAUACUGGCUGCUCUACUCAGAGAUUUGGGCUUACAGAUCUAAUAGCUCCAUUAAAUGCAUCGUCAUUUUGUUGGAGGAGACAGUAUAGAGCGGUAGUUAAGAACACAGACUGUGGAGACAGGCUGCUAGAUGUAGAACCCUAGAUCUGCCACUUGCUAGCUGUGUAGCCUUAGAUAAAGUACUUAAGUUCUCUGUGCCCCAGUUUCUGCAUUUGUAGCAUCUCUUAAUUUUUACACAACAUGUAAAAAAUACAUCAGUUUUGUGGCAGGUAAGGAAGUUUGUACUUUUUGGUUUGUUUUUAAGACAGAGUCUUGCUCUGUCACCCAGGUUGGAGUGCAGUGGUGCGAUCUCGGCUCACUGCAACCUCCACCUCCCGGGCUGAAGCUAUUUUCAUGUCUCAGUCACCCAAGUUGCUGGGACUACAGGUGCAUGCCACCACGCCUGGCUAAUUUUUGUAUUUUUAGUAGAGAUGGGGUUUCGCUAUGUUGGCCAGGCUGGUCUUGAACUCCUGGCCUCAUGUGAUCUCCCUGCCUUGGUCUCCCAAAGUGUCAGGAUUACAGGCGUGAACCACUGUGCCCAGCCUGGAAGUUUGUACCGUGGAGCUAAUUCUAUUCACCUUUUUAUUUUUUCCCCACGAGCAGAUUCAAGUUGCCCUGGAUAUAUGCUUGCUGGAGCUAAUUCUAACUAGACAAGUUGCUACAAAAGACAAGCAAAUAUCAACUGCAUGAGUGUUAGCUCAUCCUUGUCUCAACAAUGUCUCACUCUGUCGCCCAGGCUGGAGUGCAGUGGCGCAACCUCGGCUCACUGCAAGCUCCGCCUCCCGGGUUCACGCCAUUCUCCUGCCUCAGCCUCCCGAGUAGCUGGGACUAUAGGUGCCCGCCACCACACCUGGCUAAUUUUUUGUAUUUUUAGUAGAGAUGGGGUUUCACCUUGUUAGCCAGAAUGGUCUCGAUCUCCUGACCUUGUGAUCCACCUGCCUCGGCCUCCCAAAGUGCUGGGAUUACGGGCAUGAGCCACUGUGCCUGGCCGAAACCUACUGUUUCUAAAAGGUCUGUUAGUAACCUCUAGUCUUUGGCAACUAAGAAUUUUAAGAAAUAUUCAAUAAUUCUUUAACUUGACAGCUUAAGAAACCAGGUUGUGAAAUAGUGGUUUUUAAGAGGGUUCUUAUGUGGCUGAUACUUUAGGUGCCAUUAAAUAAAAUAUUAGUACACAUAAAAUAAUCUAAAAUCCCAAAAGAUAAGCUUUAGUGUUAUGAAAACAAAAUUUAGUUAACAUAUAUUAAGAAAAUGCUUAGUAUUAAGUAAACCAAGAAAAAAAAGAAAAGAAAUGGAAAGAAAAACCAGCAUACUUCCUUCCAAAAGGAAGGUGAUUUUGUCUUUUAGGUAAACCACUUAACAUCAAAAGUUUUUUCAAAACAGAAAAAGUAUCUAUUAUGAAAAAUAUAUGUAUAUUACUGAAUUAGCUGUAUUUCAUCUUGAAAUUCUCAGAAAAAGAUAAGGUAGAUGUUGCAGCUUCCUUGAUUUUAGAAGAAAUACUACAUUAGCAAACACUGAACCAAAUAGGAAAGGGUAUGAGGCUUAUGGCUCAGGGUGCAGGCACUAAAAAAGUAGCGGUAACACAGCUAAUAGGAAUUCCUGCAAAAGUUUUGAAAAAAAGACUCCUCAACCAAUUUGCUCUACAAAAGAAAAAACUUUCUUUUCUACUGUAGGCACUGGUAUAUGACUUUUGUUGCUGACCCUUCAGUAGGGCUCACAAAUAUAUAAAAUAGAACAUAAAUAAAAAUUAUAUACAGUUAAAAGUAUAAUAGUCUAAUACCAAACACAUUUCCAGAGGUACCAAAGAAAUCAGGUUACAUGUGAAAACAGUAUUUGAGUUAUGUUGUAGUAUCACUACAUUUAAUGAUGUAAGGAGCUUCAGGACUAUGAAGAAAAUUUAAAAUUAUUAUGUUAUUCUUCACUAAGAAAUAAACAGUACCUGUUGCAGUAGUCAACCACAGACUCCCUGGUUGUAAAUAAAGCUUCCUCUCCUUUCUUGGCCUUUGCCCACUUUGAAUCCAAAAGACAGUCCACUGCUUUUGAAGCUAAAGAAGAAAUUCAUUAUUUUAAAUUUAGCAUACAUGGGGAUUUAUGUCUAUCUAAAUAAUAUUUUAUAAAGUAAAAUUUCAACACUCUGGCAACAAAAAAGAAAACCAAACUCAACAGAAAACUAAAUCUAACAUGAUCAUGAUUAGUAGUUCCCCAAAACCUCAACUUGUGAACUAUAUUAAGUAUCUUUUAAAAGUAAUGUUGGGAAAUAAUGGCAUUCAGAAAGACCAACUAAAGCAAGUUAAAUUAAUGGGGAAAUAUUCAAAAAUUUAAAAUAUCUGUAUGUAACUAUCACUCUUAUUAAUCACAAGCAUAUGUAGAUAAACCAAAAUGUUCACCACUCCCUGCAAGUAAUAAAAAUUCUCAUCAAGUUUUACUCUAAUACACUGAGGAAGAAGCUCUGUCAACAAUCCACUGCUGUCACAAGAAACAGCUAAACAUAUUAUAUCUGAAGAGAUUAGCACAUCUACUUUUUAAAACUUGUAAUGAAUGUCAAAUCAUUAAAAACAGUAAAGAAAGAGACGAUAAAGGACUUUUCCUCUACACUGGCAAUUUAGUUUUUUUUUUCUUCUAAGAGACAGGUUCUUGCUCUGUCACCCAGGCUGGAGUACAGUGGUGGGAUCAUAGUUAACUGCAGCCUCUAACUCCUGGGCUCAAGCCAUCCUCUCACUUCAGAGGCGCAUGCCAUCAUACUCAUCUAAUUUUUUUGUAGAGAUGGGGUCUCAUUGUGUUGCAUAGGCUGGUCUCGAACUCCUGGCCUCAAGCAACCCUCCUGCCUUGGCUUCCCAAAGUGUUGGUACUAUAGGUGUGAGCCACGACACCCAGCUGCAAUUCACUUUUAAUUGAUGAGAAAGGCAAACUCAACCCCUACUUAUAAGCUCUGGUGUUAUAAAUGACAUCAGCUUAUAAUGACAUUGUUUGGGGAAAAAAAGCCAGUGCUCUUAGUUCCAAGUACGCAUACUAUCUAAACAAAAGGUAGUAUUUUAAAACACUGAAAAUAAAUCCUAUUUAAAAAAAUUUCCAACAAUUGUUAUUAGAAAACAUGUUAUCUUUUUAUUAUAGACAUUUUCAAUCAUAAAAGAAAAGAACAGAAUAAUCAACUGCCAUAUGUCCAUCACCAGAACAAUCACAUUUGGAAAGCACUUUUAAAACUUCUACAUAUCCCAAAUGUAGGUUAACUUCAUAACAUAUGUACACUAAUACGAUUUUACUGAUAUAAUCCUACCAAUAAAAUAAUCAACCCGGUGACCCAUCAUAUUGGUGGACUUUGUUGGACAGUUGAAUCGAAGAUACUUGGCCACAGCCUUCUCUUCUUUAGAUGGUUCACCAACUUCCUGCAACAUAUGAAUAUUAAUUUAGUAUAAUCAUAUACUUGAGAAAUUCAUGCGCUGAAUAAUAAUUUACAAAUCUAUUUUAUGAAUCUUUUCAAGUGGAGUACAGGCCUUGCUUUCAAGCUUUCUCUGGAGCGACCUAAUAAAGUAUUCAAAAGACAAAAAUGGAGAUUUAAAGAAACUACGUUUUUCAAAUAUAAGUUGAUAGAGGCAAAGCCUGUCUGCUUCUUGGCUUCAACUAUGAGGCAUUUGAGUUGUUUUUUCCACAAUGGUAACUACUUUGUACCAGUUCACUUUCAUUCUUAUACGGUCUUUUUUUUUUUUUUUUUUGAGAUGGAGUCUCACUCUGUUGCCUAGGCUAGAGUGCAGUGGUGCGAUCUCGGCUCACUGCAACCUCUGCCUCCUGAGUUCAAGUGACUCUCCUGCCUCAGCCUCCCAAGUAGCUGGUAUUACAGGUGCCUGCCACCAUGCCCAGCUAAUUUUUGUAUUUUUAGUAGAGACAGGGUUUCGCCACGUUGGCUAGGGUGGUCUUGAACUCCUGACCUCAAGUGAUCCGCCAGCCUAGGCCUCCCAAAGUGCUGGGAUUACAGGCGUGAGCCAUCGUCACCGGCCUAUAGUCUCUUUUUAUAAGCCACAAAACAGUAAUUAAAAAGAUAAGAUGUUGCUAAUAGUGAGUAUCCAAAUGUCAAAGUAAGUAGAAACAAGUGUCAUAAAUAAAUGUUAAAAUAACAGCCAAAGAUAUGUAUCCUGAACAAUGGACAACAGAUCGCAGAAGGAGUUCUCAAAUUAAUCAAUGACAGCUGCCCCCAAUGUGGUAGCCAUAAGAACUACUGACACAAUGACAAUUUGUAUUCUCUUUCCUUUCCCCCUGUGGCUGCAGAUACCAGACACUCCUGGGACUGUCUUUCUCAUCUUCUCUUCUCCAGUAAGGGUGAGGCAAAAAUGAAAAAUGCAAAAAGAGUUAUUACUAUCUCAUUUGAAGAGGUGAUUAAUGGAAGUGCACUGACAAAGAGUCGUUUUGGAAAGGCCGUUUUAAUCCUUCUCUGCUUUCUUUCUUCUAUAUCUUUUCCCAAAUUUUCUAUUAUUUUCUUCAUUGUUUCUCAUUCCCCAUCUUCCCUUUAUUCCCUUUCAUUCUGAACUUCUUUGACAAUUCCUCCUGUGAAUUUAUUUUCCCUACUCACGUACUGAAGAAAAUGAAGGCAGUCUAUCUUUGUAUACAUCUUAUGUAUAAACUUUCAAAAGCUGUCUUAUUGCUGUAAGCUAUUGAAACAAAUGCACUGUACUUAAUUACUGUCUAUAAUUGCAUGCUUAAGCACAAUACACAGAACAUUCAGUAUUUCCAGCAACAUAUAAUCUAAAUGUGAAUGAUUUCAGGAAGGGCUGCUUCAUUAAAGAAUAAAAUGACAAAUAAUAGUAAAAAAUAAUCUGGCAAGAAUCUAAGAUGCUAAGAAUUAAUGCUAAAGACAGCUGUUUCAAGCAAAAAAAAUCUAAUGAUGCAAAAUAGAAAAAAGAAUCUAUCCAACUUAUCUAUGUUGGGUUUUUCCAAAGUUAAGAGAAGUCUGAAUUAAGUUAUGUUUGAGGAAAAUAAAGAACAACCAACAAACCUACGUUUCAGCUUUAACUUUAUCCCAAAAAGGAAUAAUUUGUUAGAUGAAGUGGAAGUUUUUGUUUUGGUUACUGAGUCUCCUGGCAGGUACAUCUCUCAUUUCUUCCUUUGUAUUUCGCAAGUCCUCUACUUCCAGUAGCCCAAUUACCUGUGUAAGAUCAUACCAGUGUACAAUUCCUACAGUCUGCAACUACCAGCUGUGGGCUAUUUGUGGCAAUAAAAAUUAAGAGCCCAAAUCACUCAACCCAAAAGAAGGCUACUAUAAAAACCAAGUAUUUAUGAAAUUAAAACUUUUAUAUAUGAAAAUACGUAUCACAAAAAGUAGAUUUUUUUUUUUUUUUUGAGACGCAGUCUUGCUCUGUCUCCCAGGCUGGAGUGCAAUGGUGCUAUCUCAUCUCACUGCAACCCCCACCUCCUGAGUUCCAGCGAUUCUCAUGCCUCAGCCUCCCGAGUAGCUGGGAUUACAGGUGCCCACCACCAUGUCCGGCUAAUUUUUUGUAUUUUUUGUAGGGAUGGGAUUUUACCAUGUUAGCCAGGCUGGUCUCGAAUUCCUGACCUCAGAUAAUCUGCAUGCCUCAGUCUCCCAAAGUCUUGGGAUUACAGGCGUAAGCCACCACGCCCAGCAAAAAACUGGAACCUUAAAAAAUGGCAAAUUCAAAAUUUAACACUCCAAGUUCAGGAACAACUACAAGAUUCAUAAUGAUUUAUUUGAGGCCUGACUGCAAAAUAUACUUUCUGAUAUAAUAAAAGGCAAAAAUUCCUAAUUAAAAUUUUUGAAACCAUGCUAAAAUAUAUUAAUAUAUGUUAGUAUCAGGCAUAUUAAAUGAUAGUAUUUAAUUAUGUUUGUAAAAUACACUACACUUCGCAGAGCCUCAAUUAGUAAAUAAUAGUCUAUAUAUCCAUACAUCUGAAAAAGUAAUACUAUAAAAGUUGAAUACUAUAAAUGGUUUAUAGAAACCAAUUCUAUUAUAUAAUCACACCACACAUGCUCAAUUUUUUCCUCAUCUGAUACAUCUGUUGUCAACUUAAAAUCGAUCUAAUUAAAUAACUUGUUACUGGGAGGUGCUUGAUUAAAAAUUGUGGGGGAGAAGUCUGAAUAAAUGUGACCUGUUCUUCCAGACUUACAGAGUACUCACCCUAUCAUCUUUGGAUGCUACAGUUAACAGCAAAGAUUUGUAAGGCAUGAUAUGUACACUCUGUUACAUAACUGUUAGAAGCAGUAAUUAUUAUUUCCCAAAAAGAGGGGCAGAAAAAAUAUUUUUGAAAUACACAGAGUAGGAUGGGUUGGGUGGCUCAUGCCUGUAAUCCCAGUACUUUGGGUGGCUGAGGCAGGCAGACUGCUUGAGCCCAGGAAACCAGGCUUGAGACCAGCCUGGGCAACAUGGUGAAACUCCUUCUCUACAUAAAAAAAAAAAAAAAAAAAAGAUAGAAAAAGGUGCUACACAUGUGUAGUUCCAGCUACUCAGGAGGCUGAGGUAGGAAGACCACCUGAGCCCUGGUAGGUUGAGGCUGCAGUGAACCAAGAUCAUGCCACUGCACUCCAGCCUUGGCAACAAAGUGAAAGCACCCAAAUUAGGAGUGAGAUUAUCAAUGUGGAUGGGAACACUGGAAGAGGAAGAUAAAGUUUGAAAGAUGAACAAGUUUUGGGUAAACUGACUGAAAAGCCAUAAAUAUUGUGGCUGAGAAUGACACAAAAUUUGGCUCUAGUAGAGACAAGCUAGGAAGUACUGGGAGAUUAAGUGUGUAAAAGCAGAAUAGUCAUCAAGGUAGGCAAGGAAAUUUCUACUUUACCCUGUAAGCAGCAGAAAGACCACUAGUAGUUUCUUAAUAGGACAUAACUAGAAAAAUGAUUUAGACAUGAUUUUGGUGGCUGUGUGUAGGAUGAACUGGAAAAAAAUGCAUAAGGCAGGGAAAUGGAUGGAAGACUACUGUAAUAUUCAAGUAAAUUGUAGUGUGAUACUGGACUAUAAAUGGGAAAGAAAUUUAGAUAUCUGAAACAUUUCAAAUGUAGAACACAUAGAACUCAAUGAUAAAGGAUAAAUAAAAUGGCUAGGUAAAGAUGUCAGAUUUCCAACUUUAUCAACAGAAAGGAAAUGUGGAAGGAAAGUAAUUGUAGAGAAUGACCAUAUCAAAUUUAGGCAUGAUACAAAUAUACUCAUACUAACACUCAGUUAUACCAUUCCUGAAUACAGACAUAAAUAUACUAAUCUACUGACUGCUGAUAGAGGCAUCACAUGUAAAACCUGAUUAAAUAUUAGGGUACAUAAAAAAUUGAGAAGCUGAUUACAUAUUACGCAAUAGGGAACCUGAUAUGUAUGCACAAAAUUUAAAAAUCUCAUUCUAACAAUUAAUUUCAAGUUCACCAAACUCUUCUAAAACUGCACCCUGUCCUUUGUAAAGGCACUAUCAAGAGGCAAUGAAAGGAAGAGACCAGAAAACACGGACUUGGAUAAUCUCUCCCAACUAGACACAGAAUUAACUUGUUUACUGAUACUUUCUUAAAGUAUUGCAAUUUAUUAACUUAUAAUAACUUAUCCAUAUUGUAGACUGCCUUCAAUGCAACAAUAUAAUUUGUGCCAUUGCUUUGGCGUUGAAGCCAGAAAGAUAGAUUGCUGUAGAAGAGUACCAUGAGAGGCAGGGCUCAGUGGCUCAUCCCUGUAAUCCCCACCACUUUGGGAGGCCGAGGUGGAUCGCAUGAGACCAGGAGUUUAAGACCAGCCUAGGUAACUUUCUGAUACUCCAUCUCUACAAAAAAUUAAAAAAAAUUAGCUAGGUGAGGUGGUGCACACACUUGUAGUCCCAGCUAGUUGGGAGGUUGUGGCCAGAGGAUCACUUGAGACCAGGAGUUUGAGUCUCUAGUGAGCUAUGAUGCCAUCACUGCAUUCCAGCCUGGGCACCACAGUGAGACCUUGUCUCUUUAAAAAAAAAAAAAAAAAGUACCAUGAGAACAUGAACAGAUAGUUGGGAUUACAAGCACAAGCCACCACAUCCAACGUGCAUGCAGUCUUCACUUUCACUGUUCUCCUGAUGCAGCAUAAGAAGGUAUAAAAGUUUUACCUUCUUUUUGUUUAUACAUUGGACUACAGUACCUCCCCCUCUUUGUUCUCUUUUGAUGUAAACAGAAUAUUUUUAUAAUUUUCCUAGAAGACUUCUAACAAAGUGAAGGCCUUUUGGGAAUAGUAGCACCCACUAAUAAAGAGAAACCAACCUAUCAAUCUUCAAACAAAUGGAGAGAACUUCUUAGUUCAAUGAAUGAACACAACUGUCUUACAAUGAGGAAGCUAAGAGCCAAUAAAUUUAGGCUGGACUGCCUUUCCUUUCUUUGCACCCAACACCAAUACACUGGGUGCUGUAACUUAAAAUACAAAAUUAUUUAAAUUGGAAGUUUGGUUAGAAUACUCUUAUAAAAUUCUUUAAUAAAUACUGUUUUUUACUUUAGAAUACACCGACACUCAAAUACUAUAAUAAGAUAGAGUUUGACAUUUCUAAGUUAUUUUAGCCAAUAUUUAACCUUUUUGAGAAAAAAAUCAAGAGUAAGUAUGUCACAGGCACCAAUCUUACAGAAUUUGUGAUACAGAGGAACUUUUAAAAAUUACUACAUCCAAUAAAAAUUAGCUUAGUUGAUCUGUCAACCAUGAACUGAGCAAAAAAGAAAAAGGCUUGGUUCAAGCAGUAUAAAAUAUUUGUGAAAAAUGCAAAUAGUAGUUUAACAAUAAGAUCUGAAAGCUGGAGGGGACCUUAAUCAUUAGUAACAAUAUGUGCUACACAAAUAACACUAUACAAGAGUAUCUAGACAACAGCAGUGCCCUUCUGUAAUAGCUCCAACUCCCUUCUAUUGUAUUCUUUCCUUAGCAAUGGGUUUGCUAAACUGCAAAACCCUCCAUUAAGCCUUUGAGGGGUAGUUUUCUGAUUUAGGACUGGCUUCCUGAGUUCUUUCUCUUCAGAAUAUUCAGAGUCAGAAAUUAGACCUGUAUAGUCUGGCUAUAUAGUCCCAAAUUUUCUCUUUUCUUCCCUGUCCUGAAAUUAAGCACAUAAGCCCAUGAUAUGUCAAGGUUUUAUUGCUUGCCAGGAAGACAGAUGGGUGCAACAAAAAUAACUAAUGGAGGGUUAUAAAAGUUCUAAGAAUUAGCCAUUUAAAUGUCUCAAAACUCAACUGGACAUUAAGCAGAAUACUGAAUGGGAUGAUUCUCUUUAGCAAGGACAAGUCAUGUUAAGUCUUUACGUUGCAUAAUUCAAUAAUAAAGAAGUCAGGAUUAAAGUAUUUCAAAGCAACUUAUUUUUUAUCUAUUGUGAGACAGAAAGAGUAUUCAGUUGGGAAUCAGAAGACCUGGUCUAAAUCUGGUUUUACUAUCUUGAUUGACGAUCCUGGAUUAAGUCACAAAACCUCACUGGACCUCAGUUUAUCUGAAAAACGAGGGUGUUGGGUGAGAUCAGUCAGCUGUAGGAUCACCACUCUGCUUUCAUGUUAAGACUGAAUUUAUGAAAAAGGCUUCCAAACAAACCCUACUAGAUCCUUUUAAACUCUAAAAUUUCUUGAUACCAGGAUUGUAAAUCAACUUCUACUAUGCAGCAGCACAUUGUUAAUCUAUAUGUAGUUACUGUAUGAGUACAUGUAGCUCACUUCUGGUUUUCAGUGACCAGUAAUGAGUCCAAGAAGGAAAUGUGACAACAGUCCUCUUGCUAGAAACUUCGAUGGGACACGAGAAUCUGAAAUUAUACUGAAUUACAAAGAAAAAGCAAAUUAGCUACUUUUUUUUUUAACCCUGAACUUAUUUGUUUGUAUCAAACAUUUCUCCCCAAUGUGCAAAGUAUAAUUAAAGAUCACUGAAUCUAUUAACCAUCUUUCUAAACAUAAAACAUCAAGCAACAAAUGACAGAAACUCAGUUGGUAUUACAGACCUUUUGCCUAAAAAUUCUACAACAGGAUCUUUUUUGUAAGUUAAACUCUGAACUUUUCAUUACAUUUGAUCUUUUUAUCACAAGUGAUGUAUUAUAGUUUCUGAUUAUCUGGAAUGAUAAAACUGAGGUACUUUCUAGGCUAGUAUAUUUUCAUAAGUGUGUUAGGCUGCAUGAAAGUAGUACUCUAAGAUCUCUCACAAACAUUUUAUACAGCCAUGUAGAAAAUUUCAAGGACAGAAAAAUAAAUGUCACUUAAUUUUGCAGUAUGCCCAGUAGAUUUUAAUAAUCAAUCCUCAAAUAAUAGAAAGUAAACAGCUAUACUCUACAUAACUCCCAACCUAAUAGUUUACUGAAUAGAGGGUUGUUAAUCUUUCUUCAGCAUAUCAAAGAGUAGUUAACAAAAAAUAAAAUAACAAUCCAAUCUAAAUCCUUCAUCCUGGGUAAGGAGUAGAAUAGAAGGGAGGGGCUGCGUGCCAAACACUUUUAAUAACUUUUAAUAAAUAAGUUGACUCACCUAUUAUUUUCACAGCAAUCUUAAAGUUUUUCUUUUUUCUUGCUUUUUUUUUUUUUGAGGUAAAUAUGUUUUCUUACCGAUGCAGACAGGGAGGUAAAAAUUAACUUGCUCAAAGUUACUCAGCCAAUAAUUGGUGGAGGUGGGGUACAAACAGGCAGUUUGGCUCAAGUUUUAGCUCUCUGCCACUGUCACAUUACUCCACAGCCUCUGUUUAAUAUAAGAUCACAACUAAAUAAGAGCAGCUAUUCAAAAGGUGAAUUAUAUAGCCCUUACAACAAUAUUAAAGAGCAACUGGAAUUGUAAAACAAUGUGUAUUGAAGGGCAUAAAAUUGUACUGUCAAGUGUAAAUCUAAGGAGUUCUGUAAGUACAAAUCUGACAGACAAUUUCAAUAUACAAUCUAAUAAAAUACUGUAUACCCACGUCAGAGGAAUAACACUAACUCUUGAAAGAUUAAGAACAGUAUAAUUAGAAACUUCUACUGAUCUUAAGACCUAGUCUUAUCUGUCUGAACUCGAAAUCUGCCUCUUUCUAAUUCCCUUCUGCACCCUGUUCGGAACUACUUUAUUUCUGCCAAAUUCCAAAAUUCCAAAUUUACUGAUCAUGUGUGUCUUUUUCACAGCACUUAAAAAGUUUACAGAAGAAUUUUAACUUGCAUAGCUCAAAACAUCUGUAUUGUACGCCAAUAAAUCGAUAAACUUAAAAAAAAAAAGAAGGGAUAAAAUGGAAGAAAGAAAAAAUCAUUCUAAGCAAUGAAAUAGUAAGGAACAGAAAGGCAAUGAUGAAUGUAACAAUUUAUGAUUAUAGUAACAAUUUACUACAUGUGAUCAAUUUGAGGGCUUAUGAAGGUUUCUCAGCACAUCAGCUGAUGAGACGACUAAUAAAUAUCCUGAGUCCAAGAUGUUCUACAUAAUUAAUCCUCUUGGCAAAGAACAAGAACCAGGGAAAAUCGCAAGGAAGAAAUGCACAAAUGACACGCAUGUGGAAUUAGGGGGAGAUGUUAUGUACGUUACUACGAGGAUGACACACUGGCAUGUGAAAGGUUUCUGGGCUCCACCAGCUCGUUGCAGCACCAACGAGGUUGUGGUUGUUUACACCACGUCGCCCGGAAAAAAGCCGGCAAGCUUCAAGUGGACUAUUAAGUUAAUAAUAUUGAAGGGAAAGAAGGGCAACGCAACUGAACAUCUGGAUGAGCAGAUCCCUGCCUAGGCCCCGAGGCAGCUGACCAAGUCCAGAUCAUUCCCCCUUACGGUCUAUGCGCACAAAGAACCAGCUGCUUUAGGUCAGUCCGCCGCCUCCUGCUACCCCUAUUACCGUGGCCUUAAUUUCAGGCCAGCUAAGGCCAGAGGAUGGGGUGAAGGGAGGGGAGGAGCCCCGGGAAGGGUCAGCGUCUGCGCCCCAGGGGAGGCUGACCUUCCAGCUCAGGCCCGGGACAGCGCGACCACAGGAACUCCAGGCCCACAGCCGCGCCUCCGCAGCCGGAUUCUGAGCGCGGCGCCUCCUUCCUUCCCCUGCUGCUCCACCACCACCUCCGUCUCUGUCUCCGCCGUCGCCAACACCGCCCCCCCUCAGGCCCCUCACAACGCGCAGCCUGCAGCCAGCUGCCUCGCGGCGGAACCCCACCCCACCCCACCCCACCUCGCCCUUGCUUUCGCUCGCCCUUUUAGGGGGCUUUCCCCGCCCCUUCCACUAUCCAGCGCGCCGAAGCCCCCUGCCCAGAGCUCGGCUUUGCUACCUGGAUCCGCUUCUUGUGUCUCCUGCGUUCCGCCAUGUUGGC